GUGAUUCCCUGAGGCUGGGAAGGCUAGGAAUCCUUUGGAAGCUCACUGUCUGGACCUCCAAGCAGGCUGUCACCAUGGAUCCUCGCUGGGCGACUUCCAGUUCAUCUUUCCCACCAACUGGAAUGAACAUUCUAGAACAUCAUUUCUGUCAGAUCUCUACUGCCAGAGGGAGAGUCCCAAGCAACCAAGCCAUCGCAAUGACAGAGGCAGGGUGGUGGAGUGUUUCCAUGCUCUGGAAUGGAGACCUGGAUUUGAAGCCCGCGAGCCACGACUACUGAGCCUGAGUGCCACAACUACUGAAGCCCGCACACCUAGAGCCGGUGCGCCACAAGAGAAGCCACUGCAAUGAGAAGCCCGUGCACCACAACGAAGAGUAGCCCCCGCUCGCCGCACUGGAGAAAGCCCGCACGCAGCAACAAAGACCCAA